UAAGGAAUAUUGGUCAAUGGGCGCAAGCCUGAACCAGCCAUGCCGCGUGCAGGAAGACAGCCCUAUGGGUUGUAAACUGCUUUUGUCAGGGAAUAAACCUAUCUACGUGUAGAUAGCUGAAGGUACCUGAAGAAUAAGCAUCGGCUAACUCCGUGCCAGCAGCCGCGGUAAUACGGAGGAUGCAAGCGUUAUCCGGAUUCAUUGGGUUUAAAGGGUGCGCAGGCGGAUUGGUAAGUCAGGGGUGAAAUCCCACAGCUCAACUGUGGAACUGCCUUUGAUACUGUCAGUCUAGAGUAUAGUUGAAGUGGGCGGAAUGUGUCAUGUAGCGGUGAAAUGCUUAGAUAUGACACAGAACACCGAUCGCGAAGGCAGCUCGCUAAGCUAUAACUGACGCUCAUGCACGAAAGCGUGGGGAUCAAACA
rnacentral:rRNA from 1 species